rnacentral:siRNA from 1 species
AGCAAGCAGAGGAGGUGUAGGUA